rnacentral:rRNA from 1 species
AUUGAACGCUGGCGGCAGGCCUAACACAUGCAAGUCGAGCGAGCGGCGGACGGGUGAGUAAUGUAUGGGGACUGCCCGAUAGAGGGGGAUAACUACUGGAAACGGUGGCUAAUACCGCAUACUAUCGGAUAACCCAUAUGGGAUUAGCUAGUAGGUGGGGUAAAGGCUAACCUAGGCGACGAUCUCUAGCUGGGCUGAGAGGAUGAUGACCCACACGGGGACGGGGAAACGGCCCAGACUCCUACGGAGCCAGCAGUGGGGAUUAUUGCACAUGGGGCGCAAGCCUGAUGCACCCAUGCCGCUUGUAUGAGAAAGGCCUUAGGGUGGUAAAGUACUUUCAGCGGGGAGGCGUUACCCGAAGAAGAAGCACCGGCUAACUCCGUGCCAGCAGCCGCGGUAAUUC